GGCAGAUCCACCAUGAAAUCCAUGGCUAAAUGGGUCCAUGGAGCAUUAGGUAUUGGCAGUGGUUGUAACAACCCAUGAGGAGAUUUGUGGGAUGCUUUAGAAAUGGCACAUAUUUGACAUGCCCCUACAUAAUCUUUGAUGUCGUUCCUAAGUGUAGGCCACCAGAACCUCCUGGAAAUAGCAGAGAGAGUUUUAUGGACUCCAGGAUGACCUGCUGUCAAAUUAUCAUGGAA